rnacentral:rRNA from 1 species
AACAUGUCUUUAUGAUUAUAAUUUAAAGUCUAAUYUGCUCCAUGAUUUAAAAAUUAAAUAGCUGCAGAAUUUUAACUGUACAAAGGUAGCAUAAUCAAUAGUUUUUUAAUUAAAAGCUGGAAUGAAUGAUUUGAUAAGGUAAAUAUUGUCUCAAAUUUAAUGAAGUUAGAAUUUUUUUUUUAGUUAAAAUACUAAAAAAAAUUUAAAAGACGAGAAGACCCUAUAGAUUUUUAUAUUAUAAAUUAAAUAAAUUUAAAAAUAAAAAUAAUUUUUAAUUAAAAAAUAUUUGAUUGGGGAAAUUAUUAAAUUAAAAAAAUUUUAAUUAUUUAAAAACAAAAAUUGUUGAAUUUUUGAUCUUAAUUUUUAAAUUAAAAGAAUAAAUUACCUUAGGGAUAACAGCAUAAUUUUUUUUGAGAGAUCUUAUUGAUAAAAAAGUUUGUGACCUCGAUGUUGAAUUAAGAUUAAAUUUUAAUGAARAAAUUAAAAAUUUUUGGUCUGUUCGACCAUUAAAAUCUUAC